rnacentral:lncRNA from 1 species
UUCAAAAAAGAAUACUUGCUUUCCCUGGGCUGCUGAGGCCCAGCACACACAUACACAGCAGGACACAGAGAAAUAUGAGGUCUUUCAGCGCGGCAAGCUUGUGUCAUUUUUCACUGCUAGAAGAUGAAAUCUAAAUUCAUUAGCAAGGCACAAUUAAGUUCAUGCCUCUAUCUGAGGCCCAUUCACAGCUCCGCUUUACGCUUUGUCUUGGUAGUGGGCCGCCUUUGCCUGAAUGGAACUGGCAAACCUGUCCCAUGUCUAAGGAGACAAGAGCUUGGGUCCUACCUGACCAGAAUGACAAAGAGAGGCCAUGAGACAAGCCUGAGAUGAAACAGCUGAGCUUGGGAGAAAUCGCGUUAUUUUAUUUUGCAGUACUGGCAAGUCAUGAGAUAUCUGUAUCCUAAUUCCAUUCCAUCUGUACUCUGUUUGGAUUCUUUAGUGGCCAAUGCUAUCUACACAGUAGCUCUUUCAGCUAAUGGAAUAUUAGAAUUUCUGAUUUGUUCUGGUCUACCAUAAUUUCCUGGGAUAUCAGAACAACUUUUGCUGUAUUAUUCUAUGCAUCAAGCUGAUUAUAAUUUCACAUUUGGAUUUUAGUGGAG